rnacentral:rRNA from 1 species
CAAGUCGAGUGCGCGUCCGUAGCAAUACGGAUGGCGCACGGCGCACGGGUGCGUAACACGUGGGCAAUCUGCCCUUCGAUGGGGAAUAACUCCGGGAAACCGAAGCUAAUUCCGCAUAACAUUCCUUGGACUUCGGUUCGAGGACUCAAAGCCGUAAGGCGUCGAAGGAGGAGCCCGCGCCCGAUUAGCUAGUUGGUGAGGUAACGGCUCACCAAGGCAAUGAUCGGUAGCUGGUCUGAGAGGAUGGCCAGCCACACUGGAACUGAGACACGGUCCAGACUCCUACGGGAGGCAGCAGUGGGGAAUCUUGCACAAUGGGCGAAAGCCUGAUGCAGCGACGCCGCGUGGGGGAUGAAGCAUCUCGGUAUGUAAACCCCUUUCGACCCGGAAGAAUGCCUCGCAAGAGGACUGACGGUACGGGUAUAAGAAGCCCCGGCUAACUACGUGCCAGCAGCCGCGGUAAGACGUAGGGGGCCAGCGUUGUUCGGAAUUACUGGGUGUAAAGGGUUCGUAGGCGGUGUGGCAAGUCGGGAGUGAAAUCUCUGGGCUCAACCCAGAGGCUGCUUCCGAAACUGCCGUGCUUGAGUGUGGGAGAGGCGCGUGGAAUUGCAGGUGUAGCGGUGCAAUGCGUAGAUAUCUGCAGGAACACCCGUGGCGAAAGCGGCGCGCUGGACCACUACUGACGCUGAGGAACGAAAGCUAGGGGAGCAAACAGGAUUAGAUACCCUGGUAGUCCUAGCCCUAAACGAUCAGGACUUGGGGUGCCACCCGUUCGGGUGUCGUCCCGGAGCUAACGCGUUAAGUCCUGCACCUGGGGAGUACGGUCGCAAGACUGAAACUCAAAGGAAUUGACGGGGGCCCGCACAA